rnacentral:lncRNA from 1 species
GUACUUGACAGAUUAUUUUAGAGCUGGUCGUCUUUCAUAUGGAGCCAUUGAAGAGCACGUCUGCAGAACGAAGACUUGUCUUUGAUCUUUCUCGAGUUGAAAUCCGCCUAGCCAAAGGUGGUACUGAGAUGGUGAAAGGUGAGCCUCCUACUAGAAAGUUCGACAAGCUUUUUGACUCUAACUAAAGAACCAAUCCAACACACACCGAUAUCCCAAACUAAGGAGCGAUCGAGGGAGAGAAAGAAAGAAAAUGCACACACUCCUUAUUCGCCCUUCACUAAACUCGACCACCAAAUCGUCUAAAUGGAAUGCAUUUAUUAGGAAAGUGUGUUCAGUCAAAAAAAGAGCUCAGCAAAGUCCCCAUGCUAUAUGCGGCGACAAUGCAAUCUAAACCUACUUAUCAUCUUAAGCCACGUCGAGAGAAGAAACCUAAAGCAGAACAAAAUGAUUGAGAGGCUUACGUAGACCUUUGCAUAACUCGAUGCAUAUCAUGAAUAGAUUUAUGUUAACAAAAAUUGUUUAGAUUUCAUCAUUCCAUCUUUGUCCUUUACUUUGGAGAAUGCAAAAGAAAAACUACAAAAAAAUAACUUCACUUUCACCUUUUCAAUCUCCCCAGACAAUACUUGAAGAACUAGGCACAUGAUAUGCUAAUAGAUCUCUCUUAUUUUUUGUAAGUUGUCCAUAAAUAUUCCAGUAGGUCUUGCCAUAUGCAUUUUUGAGAAACUAGAUGAACCUAAAAUUCCCACCACAUCAUGCAUUUUGUAGCAUUACCCAUCAGCUUGCUUUUGUAGUGUUAGAGUUACUAUUCUAUAUGCUUAUAGAGCCACACUGUUUCUUUAGCAACAAAUCUCUAUGGACGAAUAGUUUAUUACAUAAUUAUUUCUCCUUUCAAAAACCUUCUAUUGCAUAAGAUAAAACACACUUUUUCUUAAUCUUAACGACUCCAUAUUCGUUACAUAAUUUACAGUCUUCCACCACAUUAACCAGUUAUUUUUUAUUGGAUAUUCUGCUAACUAAAUUUAAUUGUUGUUCUUGUAGAUUUUCCCAAAGCCAGCAUUAAUUUGACUAUAUGUUAGCCGAAACUUUUACAAAGUUAAAAAAAACGACAGCUCUUUACAUCUGUCGUUAUACAUAUUCGGUUCAAGUUCACUUAUUUUUCAAAAACAGCAAGACAUAUAAAAUUAGCAAUAUCACUUCUUGUUAUACUUAAUCACAAAUUCAAACUUUCUACCUUACUACAACUUUAAAUCGUACGAGUGACACUUUAAUUGCGUUUACAAAAAGUAAAAUAGAUAACCAGCUCUUAUUCUUGUAUUUUCAAUUCAUACAACUGUUGUCUUACAAGAUUUUUACCGGUAUAAUUACACUUGCAACAAUAACUUGCUGGACUUUUUUGUUUCUUUUUCUACAGAAAAGCAGUACAAGUAAAUAUUGCGUACAAACUGUGAACAUAUGAUAAACAUUGCAUAAAAAGGUACUUGUACUUAAAGCCGUCACAUACAUUUGAAGAUAAUAUUGCUUACUAAUACAUUAUUCAGAGAUCAAUUCAUCC